UACGAAGGGUGCAAGCGUUACUCGGAAUUACUGGGCGUAAAGCGUGCGUAGGUGGUUCGAUAAGUCGGGUGUGAAACCUCCAGGCUCAACCUGGAGACGCCACCCGAUACUGUCGUGACUAGAGUCCAGUAGGGGAGCGUGGAAUUCCUGGUGUAGCGGUGAAAUGCGCAGAGUAUCAGGAGGAACACCGGUGGCGAAGGCGGGUCUCUGGGCCGAUACUGACGCUGAGGAGCGAAAGCGUGGGGAGCGAACAGG
rnacentral:rRNA from 1 species